rnacentral:rRNA from 1 species
CCUACGGGAGGCAGCAGUGAGGAAUAUUGGUCAAUGGACGAGAGUCUGAACCAGCCAAGCAGCGUGAAGGAUGACUGCCCUAUGGGUUGUAAACUUCUUUUAUAUGGGAAUAAAACGUUCCACGUGUGGGAUUUUGUAUGUACCAUAUGAAUAAGGAUCGGCUAACUCCGUGCCAGCAGCCGCGGUAAUACGGAGGAUCCGAGCGUUAUCCGGAUUUAUUGGGUUUAAAGGGAGCGUAGAUGGAUUGGUAAGUCAGUUGUGAAAGUUUGCGGCUCAACCGUAAAAUUGCAGUUGAAACUGGCAGUCUUGAGUACAGUAGAGGUGGGCGGAAGUCGUGGUGUAGCGGUGAAAUGCGUAGAUAUCACGAAGAACUCCGAUUGCGAAGGCAGUUCACUGGACUGCAACUGACACUGAGGCUCGAAAGUGUGGGUAUCAAACAGGAUUAGAUACCCGAGUAGUC